ACAACAAUGCUUGUCGAGUGGAAACGUAAGUAAGGACUGAAGAUGGAUGAAAAGGGAGAAAGCAAGGGAGGGGAAAACAAAGAGACAGACCAGCUCUACACCCAGAAGCAAGGAAACUGCUGUUUAUAAGCAGCUCCUGUUUGCCAGAUGUUACAAUGAUAUAAUUUCAUAAUGAUCCUGACAGUGAGGUAUGACUGUAUCCAUCCGACAGGUACGUUCCUGAGCCCUAGAGAGCAUCACAAUCUAUGCUGAAGUCACUUGGCCAGGAUUCAACGCCAAGUCUGAGUCCAGAGAUCAGAACCCACUGCAUCUCAACAGGCUGUUUCCCAGAAGGAAGCAGCACUCAGCAUCACAAGGACAGAGACCAAGGAAUCUCUCUGCAGAGGUCACGGAUGGACUUAAGUCCAGGAGCCCAAGGGAGAGCGGAAGGAAGCUGGAGAGCCCAGAGCCUGCCCCUGACCCUGACUGUAAGUUCCAUGCCCUCUCUGAUCCUUCAUUCACCCGUAGGAAAAAGGAGAGUAAUGAGGGAUCUCUUAAAGCCCUCCCAGGUCUGGAGUCCCAUCAAUCUAUGGUAAUAACUUCCACAUCCAAGAGAUGAUGGGCUGCAGAUAUCCCGGAGAGAAUAAAAGAGGAUGUUUUAAGGCACUUGCCUUAGUGUUUACCAUUCAAGAUCUCAUUUAAUCCUUAUACCCACCUUAGGAGGUUGAAUCAUAGUAACCCUAGCUCUUGGUGGUGGUGGUAUUUUAGUUACUCAGUUCAGUUCAGUUCAGUUCAGUCGCUCAGUCGUGUC
rnacentral:lncRNA from 1 species